rnacentral:rRNA from 1 species
UACGAAGGGGGCUAGCGUUGUUCGGAUUUACUGGGCGUAAAGCGCACGUAGGCGGAUCGUUAAGUCGGGGGUGAAAUCCUGGAGCUCAACUCCAGAACUGCCUUCGAUACUGGCGAUCUUGAGUCCGGAAGAGGUGAGUGGAACUCCUAGUGUAGAGGUGGAAUUCGUAAGAUAUUAGGAAGAACACCAGUGGCGAAGGGCGGCUCACUGGUCCGGUACUGACGCUGAGGUGCG